AGAGUUUGAUCCUGGCUCAGGAUGAACGCUGGCGGCGUGCUUAACACAUGCAAGUCGAACGAAGCACUUUAUUUGAUUUCCUUCGGGACUGAUUAUUUUGUGACUGAGUGGCGGACGGGUGAGUAACGCGUGGGUAACCUGCCUUGUACAGGGGGAUAACAGUUGGAAACGGCUGCUAAUACCGCAUAAGCGCACAGCAUCGCAUGAUGCAGUGUGAAAAACUCCGGUGGUAUAAGAUGGACCCGCGUUGGAUUAGCUAGUUGGUGAGGUAACGGCCCACCAAGGCGACGAUCCAUAGCCGACCUGAGAGGGUGACCGGCCACAUUGGGACUGAGACACGGCCCAAACUCCUACGGGAGGCAGCAGUGGGGAAUAUUGCACAAUGGGCGAAAGCCUGAUGCAGCGACGCCGCGUGAGCGAAGAAGUAUUUCGGUAUGUAAAGCUCUAUCAGCAGGGAAGAUAAUGACGGUACCUGACUAAGAAGCACCGGCUAAAUACGUGCCAGCAGCCGCGGUAAUACGUAUGGUGCAAGCGUUAUCCGGAUUUACUGGGUGUAAAGGGAGCGCAGGCGGUGCGGCAAGUCUGAUGUGAAAGCCUGGGGCUCAACCCCGGUACUGCAUUGGAAACUGUCGUACUAGAGUGUCGGAGGGGUAAGCGGAAUUCCUAGUGUAGCGGUGAAUGCGUAGAUAUUAGGAGGAACACCAGUGGCGAAGGCGGCUUACUGGACGAUAACUGACGCUGAAGGCUCGAAAGCGGUGGGGGAGCAAACAGGAUUAGAUACCCUGGUAGUCCACGCCGUAAACGGUGAAUACUAGGUGUUGGGGAGCAUUGCUUCUCGGUGCCGUCGCAAACGCAGUAAGUAUUCCACCUGGGGAGUACGUUCGCAAGAAUGAAACUCAAAGGAAUUGACGGGGACCCGCACAAGCGGUGGAGCAUGUGGUUUAAUUCGAAGCAACGCGAAGAACCUUACCAAGUCUUGACAUCCUUCUGACCGGUACUUAACCGUACCUUCUCUUCGGAGCAGGAGUGACAGGUGGUGCAUGGUUGUCGUCAGCUCGUGUCGUGAGAUGUUGGGUUAAGUCCCGCAACGAGCGCAACCCUUAUCUUUAGUAGCCAGCGGUUUGGCCGGGCACUCUAGAGAGACUGCCAGGGAUAACCUGGAGGAAGGCGGGGAUGACGUCAAAUCAUCAUGCCCCUUAUGACUUGGGCUACACACGUGCUACAAUGGCGUAAACAAAGGGAAGCAAAGCUGUGAAGCCGAGCAAAUCUCAAAAAUAACGUCUCAGUUCGGACUGUAGUCUGCAACCCGACUACACGAAGCUGGAAUCGCUAGUAAUCGCAGAUCAGAAUGUCGCGGUGAAUACGUUCCCGGGUCUUGCACUCACCGCCCGUCA
rnacentral:rRNA from 1 species